UAUAACGGUUUUUUAGGGUUUUACGCAUAGAAGAGGGUUUUAGAGUUCAGACCACUCCCUCUUCGUUCCACCGCAACGACAUGGCCUCAAGCCCUGACCAAGAACCCGCGAACUUGGAGCGAUAUGAAUCCGUGGAAGAUUCGGAGGACGACGAAGAAGGAGGAGAAGAGCUCGGUGGUUGGACAACCGAUGUUGAAGACGAAGACGACGACGAAGAGUCCAACUCGAGUUUUCUCUGCUUGUUCUGCGAGACUAUGUACGGCUCGUGCGCUUCCCUGUUCGAUCACUGCUCUUCGGCCCACCACUUCGAUUUCCAUGGCAUAAGGAAGGCCUUGGGUCUGGACUUCUACGGCUCGGUCAAGCUUGUCAACUACGUUCGCUCUCAGGUGGCUAAAAAUCGGUGCUGGUGCUGUGGGUUGGAAUGCAUCUCGAAUCAAGAUUUACUGAAUCACUCACAUGAGGCAAAUUCUUUGGAAGAUAUUAAACUUCAUAUAGACGACGACAAAUAUCUCAAUCCUUUCCUUCAAGAGGAUCCGCUCUUGUACAGCUUUGACGAAGAUGAAGUGGGAGAAGAUGACUCUUCUACGUUAGUCGACAAAGAGGAACUUUUGAAGGACUUGGGGGAACUUCUUGAGCGUUUCUCCUUGAACUUUGAGUUGUCUGUUGACAAGGCUGCAUCGAUUUCUGAACCUACAAAGGAAGGUGGACGUCGAGAUGUUGCAUCAACUUCCAACAGUAAAACAGAGAUAGCUGGUUCUAUGAAUUCCGGUAACCCCUCGAAUGGGGCAACUUUUCUGCAGAAGGAAACGGGAGGUGAUCUGAAUUUAAGAGCAGAAGUCGGAUCUUCCAAUGGGAUGUAUGAAGAUGGGCAAGGAGGAAAUUGUUUGAAAAGGCGCACUGCAAACAUUGUCAGGACUGUGAAUGAGAACUAUUUUGGGGCUUACAGCUCAUUCGGCAUUCACAGGGAGAUGAUAAGUGACAAGGUGAGAAUGGACGCGUAUAGCCAAGCUAUCCUGAGGAAUCCUUCUCUCUUGAGUGGUGCUGUCGUAAUGGAUGUAGGAUGUGGAACUGGCAUUCUAAGCUUAUUUGCUGCUCAAGCUGGGGCCUCAAAAGUGAUUGCAGUUGAAGCCAGUGAGAAGAUGGCUGGUGUAGCUAAUCAGAUUGCAAAAGACAAUGGCCUCUGGCGGAGUGGGAGACCAGAUGGAUGUGAUGAUAGUUGCAAAGGGGUCGUGGAAGUUGUUCAUAGCAUGGUUGAAGAGCUUGAUAAAUCCAUACAAAUCCAACCUCAUUCCGUGGAUGUGCUAAUUAGUGAGUGGAUGGGAUAUUGCUUGCUAUACGAGUCCAUGUUAAACUCAGUCCUUUAUGCACGGGAUCGAUGGCUGAAGCCAGGAGGUGCCAUACUCCCUGACACUGCCACUAUUUUUGCUGCAGGAUUUGGGAAAGGUGCGACGAGUAUUCCUUUUUGGGAAGAUGUCUACGGCUUCAGUAUGUCUUGCAUUGGCAAGGAAAUUGUCGAAGAUGCUGCUCGAUAUCCUAUAGUUGAUGUUGUGAAUGAUGGUGAUCUAGUCACUGAUGCAGUUGUUCUUCAGGCUUUCGACCUUGUUACAAUGAAGCCCGAUGAAGUGGAUUUUACAUCAAAUAUCGAGAUAGCACCAAAAUUAGCUGGUCUAGCAGACAAAGAAGGCAAACCAACCUGGUGCUAUGGAGUUGUUUUGUGGUUUGAGACUGGGUUUACCAGCAGGUUUUGCAAGGAUUUCCCUGCCGUAUUAUCCACAUCCCCAUCUACCCCUAAAACUCAUUGGUCACAGACAAUCUUGACAUUUCGUGAACCCAUUGCAAUGUCAUCGAAGAGGCCCCGUGCUGACGGGCUUGCUCCAGUCGGUUCCGAUGCCCGUCCUGCUCACAAAAUUCGCUUAAGAAUAAGCAUAGCACGUGCUCCAGAGCAUCGCAGCAUCGACAUAUCCCUGGAGGCUGUUGGUAUUGACCUGGAUGGUAGGAAGAGAAGUUGGCCAGUGCAAAUAUUCAAUCUAUGUUAGCAAUUGAAUGUGCUGAUGAUGUCCAUGAUUCGCUAGCCGGUGUCCUCUCUUCUUGAAGCCCGGGCAGCUUAAAAUUUUGUCUUUAUAUUAUGAAACUCUAAGAUUAUUUUUCUUAUAUUGACUCGAUGUUAAUCAUUCCGGUUAAUAUUGGUCGCUUAACCACAAAUAUGGGUUGUUAACUUAUUAGUAAAACUAUAUAUUUGUAAAAUAGUGUGUGAUUUUAUGAUUUUGUGGAUAUUUUCAGUAGCUUGAUAUUGGCAAUCCUGA